rnacentral:lncRNA from 1 species
UCAGGAGAAGCUGGACGCCUAAGCAAAAAAAGAUUGCCAUGCUAAUGGAUGAUUUGAAACUGAUCAGGCAACAAUUCUCGUUUACUCAAGCUGUUCUGGUGGCUGGAAAUGAAGUGAAAUAUGCUUAUAAACUCGCUAGGGAGUCCAUUGUUUCGCAAGCAACCCCUCAUGAAAACCCCCGCCAAGCUAAAGUAGCUGCUAGGAAAGAAGAGUGUCUUAUCUGUUUUAACGAUAUCGAUCCUGAGCGCAUGUUUUCUAUCGGCAAAUGCAGUCAUCGGUUUUGCUUUCAGUGUGUGAAGCAACAUGUAGAGGUGAAGCUGCUUCAUGGAAUGAUUCCGAAUUGUCCUCAUGAUAAAUGCAAGUCUGAGAUGGUGAUCGAUGCGUGUGGCAAGCUUUUGACUCCGAAAUUGGGUGAAAUGUGGAAGCAAAGGAUCAAGGAGAACGCAAUACCUGUCACCGAGAGAGUUUACUGUCCUUACCUGAAGUGUUCGGCUUUGAUGUCCAAAACCAAGAUAUCUGAAUCGGCCAAGAGCUUACAGUCUGCUUACCCUGCAUCUGGAGUCAGGAGAUGUGUCGAAUGUCGUGGCCUUUUCUGUGUGGAUUGUAAAGUCCCGUGGCAUGGGAAGCUGUCAUGCGCCGAGUACAAGAAACUGCAUCCUAAUCCUCCAGCAGAUGAUGUGAAGCUAAAGUCUCUGGCGAAUAAUAAAAUGUGGCGCCAAUGUGGUAAGUGCCAGCACAUGAUUGAACUUAGUCAAGGAUGCAAUCACAUAACUUGCAGGUAUCUUCUUAACACUUUGAUCAACCUAAGAAACCUUUGGAAUCAGAUAGAUCAUCAAACUUCAAAGCAUGUGUGGUACAUUUCAUUCUUUCCUUGUUUAACCAUAUUGGUGGCAUAUUCCCUUUUGGUAUUCUCGUUAGAUGUGGGCAUGAGUUUUGCUACAAAUGAUAUUGAUAUGAAGCUAAAAUCUCUGGCAAAUAAUAAAAUGUGGCGCCAAUGUGGCAAGUGCCAACACAUGAUCGAGCUUACUCAAGGAUGCAGGUAUCUCUCUUUAACACUUUGAUUAUUAACAGGGACUUGUGCUAAGCAAUGCCCGACCUGGGACGAAGCAUACAUCAUGCGUCAAGAUCCAGCUCCAGCGCGUGUGUAUGUGUUGCCUAACAACUACUUUGAUGAUUAUGAUGAGGAUGAAUAUGAUGAGGAUGAAUAUGAUGAUUAUGAAGCUGAUGAAGAUUUUGGUUACGGCUAUGGUGACUUCCCCUUUAAUUUGGAGCACCAUAUGAAUGAUGUUAAUCCUGAAGCGCCCUUUGAUCUGCCAGAUGGUAAUAUUUCCCUUCUAAAUCUCUAUAAAACCCUUGAAUCUCAUUAGUUUUUUUUUCCGUACUGAAAUCACUCUUUAAGAAGAAGAAGAAGAAGAAGAAGAAGAAGAAGAAGAAGAUGAGGAAGUGGAAGAAGAAGAAGAAGAUGAGGAAGUGGAAGAAGAUGAGGAAGUGGACGACUGCCCUUCCUUUGGAACUGAUGAAGAGUACGAUAUAGUAUAUGACUCGGACGGCUAUGAAAGCGAGGAUUACUAUUGAGGUGUAACUAUCGAGGUGUAAUUUGGAACCAAAGUUGUUCUCUUUCGCUUUAUGAUCUUUCGACUGUAAAUUUAUUGGUGGAUCAUAUGUUUUUAUGACUUGUUGCGUUUGAGUUUGGGAGAUUCAGGAGUGAGAAAUUUGUAGAAACCUUGGUUUGAAGGUAAAGCUUUGUUUUGCAUACAAAUGUCAUUGACGAAACUGUCACAUAUAACUUUUAAAUCACCGAGAAGCAAAUGUUUGAUUAAAACCCUCAUUUAUUUUUGAAUCGUUGAGAAUUAAGGAGAACGCAAUACCUGUCACAGAGAGAGUGUGGAAGCUUUUGACUCCAACUAUUUUCGAUGCAUGUGGCAAGCUUUUGACUCCGAAAUUGGGUGAAAUGUGGAAGCAGAGAAUUAAGGAGAACGCGAUACCUGUCACAGAGAGAGUGUAUUGUCCUUACGUGAGGUGUUCUGCUUUGAUGUCCAAAACCAAGAUAUCUGAAUCGGCCAAGAGCUUACAGUCUGCUUACCCUGCAUCUGGAGUCAGGAGAUGUGUGGAAUGUCGUGGCCUCUUCUGUGUGGACUGUAAAGUCCCGUGGCAUGGAAAGCUGUCAUGCACCGAGUACAAGAAACUGCAUCCUAAUCCUCCAGCUGAUGAUAUUGAUAUGAAGCUAAAAUCUCUGGCAAAUAAUAAAAUGUGGCGCCAAUGUGGCAAGUGCCAACACAUGAUCGAGCUUACUCAAGGAUGCAGGUAUCUCUCUUUAACACUUUGAUUAUCUUAUAAUCAUAUUUAUAAAAUGGUCAAGUCGAAUAGUAUACUUUUCUGUGAUGAGGAAAGGUUUGUAUACUCUGUUGUUAUAGCUUUCUGAUUCAUUGUAUGUAUUGUUAAUCUAGAAUCUUACUUAAUGGUAAUCACAUAACUCAACAAUGGAUAAAACAAUAUAUUUUUUGUUAAUUGCUACAGAUUGAACUAGGCAUCUUUCUUAUGUCAUUCAACUUGAUCUCAAUUUAAGGUUUAUCUGUCACAUUUUUAUUCAUAUUCAAAUCAACUUGUAUUUUAUUUUUAUUAUUAUAUAAUAAUUAGGACGGUUGUACUCUCUGAUUAUGAUAUUCUUCCUUAAAAAUCUAGUCUUAAAUGAUAUUCUUCCUUAAAAAUCUAGUCUUAAAUCUCUAGACUAUUUUCUAUUGAUUGUGAGCUGUCUUGUGACAUUCACAGACAUUACAAUAAAGAAGGAAACACUGUUAUUGGGUGCUCACUCUAUUCACAACAUUCAUAAACUCUUUCUCUUGUAGUAGAUUCAUAAAUUGGUUCCGCAAGAGCAUUCGUUUCAGCACCUUUCCAUUUCCAUCUCGGUGCCAUGGAAUAAAACUGCAUAUAGCAUUAAAAAAUCAAACCCUUUGAGCAUAAAACAUAUAUAUAAAUAAAGCAAAAUAUUAGCAGCCACAAGUAUUACACACUAGCAUCAUGCGGGCAUUGUCUGUAACACAUGUUUCUAACAAUUGACAUACUUGGAAGAACCCAAUUUAGAGCUGAACUGAACAAAGCCAAGAACUUUUGCGCUAGAGUCAAAGGAAAAAAUGCAGAGUCAGGAUUAUUAUCUAUUACUAGCAAUCCAAUGAGGCAUACAUAGACACACCAAUUUCAUCUCAAAUUGCAUCUUAGCGUGCCUAUACAUACUUAAUUAAAUGCACCAAAUAAACUCAAAACUUCAUGAAGAGUCACUCACAAUGUGAUUGAUUUGAGCUUUGAAGUGUAAUAAAAUGAGCGGAAUCAAAGGUUAUUAAUUACCUUGAUUAUCGUAAUUUAUUCUGAUAAGGCAAGAGGCGUCUUAACGUAAACCAUUGGCAAAAUUUCCGGUUAAAGUUUCGAUUACAAUCCAAUGACGCCCGGCCCACACGUGCGUGGACUUUCUCCACGUGCGGAUUUUGAGGGUCUCCUCUCUAUAUUAAAAAAAAAAGAAAUAUGUAGGACACGACGUAAAAGCUUAAAAAGCACUCGUCACGAAGAGAAAACAAAAAAGGGAGUGUUUUUUGAAUCGCUGCUGCGUUAUGGAGUUCUUGGGAGGUCGCGAUUCCGAUUCCGAAUACGCUUUCCGAUUGCAGAUGGAGGAGGCCCUCGCUGCUUCCCUCGCUUCCCGAUCUCGUGCUCCACCGUCGCCUCCCGUUGUCGCUAGGAGUGGAUUCGCUGUCGUGGUGGAGGAUGAGGAGAUCGCGCGUCAAAGAAACACCGGCGGCGGAGAAGGUAACUCGAGAGGAAAAGGGAAAACCCACCACGAGACAGUCUCUGGUGUACGGAGAGACGAUCGAAACCCUAACAGUAAUGCUUCUGCGUACGUUGGUGAUGCCGUGAGGAGGGGGAGUUUCAGGGGAGACUUGAUGUACAGGCUUUACUUCAAGGGUUUGGUGAGCGAAGAGACUGGGACUGGGAAGGGGAAGGGGAAGGUGAGUGACGUGGCGGCUGGGUUUGGGGUUGCGAUUUGCGACCAGAGGGAUGCUCUGUUGUUCGAGUCCAAGGGACAGCUUGUUGGCCGUGGCGCGAAUCGUCAGGGAGCGGAGAUUCAGGCGUUGACAAUAGGGUUGACCGAAGCAUGGGAGCUGGGGAUCAAACACGUUUCUAUCUUCUGCGAUUCUUUUCCCAUCUUCCAAUUCGUAAAGUUUCCUACUUUUUUCAUUUUCUUCACUGUUACGCUUCCUUCUCACUUGCCUUUGUUGUUGCUCUUGCUGUUGUUGAAUGGUGUGUUCGUUUUCCUUUUGUUUACUCCGAUGCAUCAUGUAGAAAUAGUGAUGAGCUGAUAAGUUGGAGUUUCCCCUUUUGUUCCUGAAUCUACUGAUGUAGCUAAUGUGUGUGUUUGUGCUAAUGUGAUUGAAGAGUUGCAUUGACUACUCUAUCAUUCUAUAUUCGUGUUUGUUAGCUAUUGUGGUUUCUCUUUGCUUGGCGAUAAUAAAAAGAAGUUGUUUGUUGCGCUACUAACCUCCACUAGCUAUAUUAGAGAGUAGAGACUCUAAGUUCUAAGGUCAUUUGCUUGUGUUUUGUGCGAUGGUUUAGAGAUCCCAUGUGUAGUGCUUUCUUUACCUAGAUUUUCAUUUUCUGUGUGUUCAUAAUAUUUUUAUUGUAUUUGAAUGCAGGUCAGGGGAAGCUGGACGCCUAAGCAAAAAAAGAUUGCCAUGCUAAUGGAUGAUUUGAAACGGAUCAGGCAACAAUUCUCGUUUACUCAAGCUGUUCUGGUGGCUGGAAAUGAAGUGAAAUAUGCUUAUAAACUCGCUAGGGAGUCCAUUGUUUCGCAAGCAACCCCUCAUGAAAACCCCCGCCAAGCUAAAGUAGCUGCUAGGAAAGAAGAGUGUCUUAUCUGUUUUAACGAUAUCGAUCCUGAGCGCAUGUUUUCUAUCGGCAAAUGCAGUCAUCGGUUUUGCUUUCAGUGUGUGAAGCAACAUGUAGAGGUGAAGCUGCUUCAUGGAAUGUUUCCGAAUUGUCCUCAUGAUAAAUGCAAGUCUGAGAUGGUGAUCGAUGCAUGUGGCAAGCUUUUGACUCCGAAAUUGGGUGAAAUGUGGAAGCAAAGAAUCAAGGAGAACGCAAUACCUGUCACUGAGAGAGUUUACUGUCCUUACCUGAAGUGUUCGGCUUUGAUGUCCAAAACCAAGAUAUCUGAAUCGGCCAAGAGCUUGCAGUCUGCUUACCCUGCAUCUGGAGUCAGGAGAUGUGUCGAAUGUCGUGGCCUUUUCUGUGUGGAUUGUAAAGUCCCGUGGCAUGGGAAGCUGUCAUGCGCCGAGUACAAGAAACUGCAUCCUAAUCCUCCAGCAGAUGAUGUGAAGCUAAAGUCUCUGGCGAAUAAUAAAAUGUGGCGCCAAUGUGGUAAGUGCCAGCACAUGAUUGAACUUAGUCAAGGAUGCAAUCACAUAACUUGCAGGUAUCUUCUUAACACUUUGAUCAACCUAAGCAAUUAUUCAAUCUUUCCUUGUUUAAUCAUAUUGGUGGUAUAAUCCCUUUUGGUAUUUGCUUUAGAUGUGGGCAUGAGUUUUGCUACAACUGUGGAGGAGGAUGGAACAAAAAAACAG